UGUCACCGCUUCUUCCAUGACAUCGUCCAUGAUCACAGAGACAUGGUCCAUGAUCGGAGAGACAUUGUUGAGGAUGAGGGAGACAUCGUCCACGAUCAGAGACAUUGUCCGUGAUCGCAGAGACCUUGUCAAAGACGAGAGAGACGUUGUCCUUGAUCAGAGACAUUGUCCCAUGCUUCGUAGAGACCUUGCGAUAGAAUCGGCGGAGACGGGGGUCACCGAUUUGACGGCACUGCCCGCGAUCAUGGAGACAUUGUUAAUGAUCACAGAGACAGCGUCUAUGAUCUCAGAGACAUCGUCCACGAUCACAAAGACACUGUCCGCGAUCACAGAGACUUUGUCCAUAAUCUCAGAGACAUUGUCCACGAUCACAGAGACGUAGUCCACGAUCACAGAGAGUACAAUGAAGAAGUUCUUUGAGACCAGAACAGAAGUCUCCAGGUGUCACCACUUCAUCCACGACAUCGUCCACGAUCACAGAGACAUGGUCCAUGAUCGGAGAGACAUUGUUGAGGAUGAGGGAGACAUCGUCCACGAUCAGAGACAUUGUCCGUGAUCGCAGAGACCUUGUCAAAGACGAGAGAGGCGUUGUCCAUGAUCAGAGACAUUGUCCCAUGCUUCGUAGAGACCUUGCGAUAGAAUCGGCGGAGACGGGGGUCACCGAUUUGACGGCACUGCCCGCGAUCAUGGAGACAUUUGUCGAUGGUCAGAGAGACAGCGUCUAUGAUCUCAGAGACAUCGUCCACGAUCACAAAGACAUUGCCCAUGAUCGCAGAGACUUUGUCCAUAAUCUCAGAGACAUUGUCCGCGAUCACAGAGACAUUGUCCACGAUCACAGAGAGACUUCGUACGAUGAUGAAGUUCUUUGAGACCAGGACAGAGGCCUCCAGGAGGAGAAGACAGCAGCAGCUGAAGACCUGAAGUGGAUGAGAGAAAACAGAAAUGUUAUGAAGCUGUUAAUUAGAUAAAAGACCUCCCAUCAUCUAACUGCAGUGCUGUUGUUCAAAUGAAAACACUUUGUUUUUCUCUACCAUCUAUAAUGUAGUCAUGUGCACAAGACUUUAUUAAACACCUCUGAGAACAUCCAAGGGCUUAUGAUACAACUAUUUAAUAAUUAUAUCACAAGCAGUUCC